AGGCUGCUGGGAGAGGCUUCGGUGCAGGAACCCAAGUCCAAGUUUGCUUCUUAGGAUGUGUAAAGCAUGGUCUUUAAGAAAGAGAACCUGGAUUUCAUUGAAUUGUAUUUAUGUCGAAUCACGACAUGAACUCUGUGCAUGAAAGCAACAUCAGGAGUCUGCCUGGGUCCGAGAGGAGUUCAGCCUUACUACAGCCUCAGAUGAGAACAGGAGUGGGACCAGCUCUGAGUUAGAUGAAACCCAGAAGACUUCAGAGAAAGUCCUCUAUCACUUCCAGCCCAGCCCAGUAAGGGAAACUGGGACUCUUCCUCCUUUUGUUCUACUCAAGUUGCUGCUUCCAAGGCUCUGUGACCGACAAGGGAUGGACUGGACUAUUAAUCUAAAAUGUUUAAUUUUUAAAGUCAUUUGUCAUAGAGAGUCACAACCCCGAGCAAUGAAAAUAUUUUUUAAUUCAUAGGACACCUGCUGGGAGAAGUGUGCUCCUGUUACUCAGAAUUCUGCAAGUGAAAGUAAAAUGUGUUGGGGAUAGUUCCUCCCUAAUCUCCAUUGGGAAGUUUGCAUCUGGAUCCCAGUUGUAUACAGUUUUUGUUAAUUUAUGCUUGUGUGAACAGCUGCCUGAGACAGACCAUAUUUGGAUUUAGCAAGUGUUUCUGUUCCUUCAAAAAAAAAAUAUAUCAAAACAAAACAACUCCACAGUAAUGACAAUGAAGGCUUUCAAAAGAAUUCUGGAAACUCAGGUUCCCAGAAGUGGCCCAAUAACAUGAAGAUAUGAAACAAGGUCUCUACUAUGUCAGAGACAUCGCCAUGUUAGUUAGCUGUCAACUGACAUCUAACAGAAGCCUUUUCACAUGACUCUCUGUCAGACAUCCCUGAUAACCGUGUGCACACUUUCCCUGUGUCACAUCACCACUCCACCAGUGGUGUCAGGAGGAAAGACAACAAAGGCCAGAACUGUUACUGCUGAGACAGAAAGAAGACUGUAUCAGUAGCAUGACUCUUUAAUCACUGUUAUGUACAAUUUAUCAUCUGACAGACUUACAGGGAAU
rnacentral:lncRNA from 1 species